UACGUAGGGUGCAAGCGUUAAUCGGAAUUACUGGGCGUAAAGCGUGCGCAGGCGGUUUUGUAAGUCUGUCGUGAAAGCCCCGGGCUCAACCUGGGAAUUGCGAUGGAGACUGCAAGGCUUGAAUCUGGCAGAGGGGGGUAGAAUUCCACGUGUAGCAUUGAAAUGCGUAGAGAUGUGGAGGAACACCGAUGGCGAAGGCAGCCCCCUGGGUCAAGAUUGACGCUCAUGCACGAAAGCGUGGGGAGCAAACAGG
rnacentral:rRNA from 1 species